CUGGUUGAUCCUGCCAGUAGUCAUAUGCRUGUCUCAAAGAUUAAGCCAUGCAUGUCUAAGUAUAAGCAAUUUAUACAGUGAAACUGCGAAUGGCUCAUUAAAUCAGUUAUCGUUUAUUUGAUAGUACCUUACUACUUGGAUAACCGUGGUAAUUCUAGAGCUAAUACAUGCUUAAAAUCCCGACUGUUUGGAAGGGAUGUAUUUAUUAGAUAAAAAAUCAAUGUCUUCGGACUCUUUGAUGAUUCAUAAUAACUUUUCGAAUCGCAUGGCCUUGUGCUGGCGAUGGUUCAUUCAAAUUUCUGCCCUAUCAACUUUCGAUGGUAGGAUAGUGGCCUACCAUGGUUUCAACGGGUAACGGGGAAUAAGGGUUCGAUUCCGGAGAGGGAGCCUGAGAAACGGCUACCACAUCCAAGGAAGGCAGCAGGCGCGCAAAUUACCCAAUCCCGACACGGGGAGGUAGUGACAAUAAAUAACGAUACAGGGCCCUUUCGGGUCUUGUAAUUGGAAUGAGUACAAUGUAAAUACCUUAACGAGGAACAAUUGGAGGGCAAGUCUGGU
rnacentral:rRNA from 1 species